GACGAACGCUGGCGGCGUGCUUAACACAUGCAAGUCGAACGAAAAGGCCAUUAGGGGUACUCGAUUGCCGAACGGGUGAGUAAGACGGUGGUGAUCUGCCAUGCACUUUGUGAUAAGCGUGGGAAACUGGGUAUAAUACGCAAUAGGAGCACACUAUUUAUGGUGGGAGGGGUAAAGAGUGUGAGGUGUGUGAUGGGCCCGCGGGAGAUCAGCUCGUUGGGGGGGUAAUGGCCGACCAAGGAGACGAUGGGUAGCCGGCCUGAGAGGGUGACCGGCCACACUGGGACUGAGAGACGGCCCAGACUGCUACGGGAGGCAGCAGUGGGGAAUAUUGCACAAUGGGCGCAAGCCUGAUGCAGCGACGCCGCGUGAGGGAUGACGGCCUUCGGGUUGUAAACCUCUUUCAAUAGGGACGAAGCGCAAGUGACGGUACCUAUAGAAGAAGCACCGGCCAACUACGUG
rnacentral:rRNA from 1 species